UAGUUGCUGCUCUCUUCUGUGGAGUCACACAGGCACAUUAUACCUACAAUAAUAUGUCAUUGGAUUCCAAAAUGAGGACUAAACAGUUGUUUGAAUUUAUGAACUUCUUGGCUGAGAAUGUCAUCUUCUGCUACAUGGGUCUGGCAAUGUUCACAUUCCAGAAUAUCUUUAAUGCCCUUUUUAUACUUGGAACCUUUCUAGCAAUUCUUGUUGCCAGAGCCUGCAACAUAUAUCCCCUCUCCUUCCUCCUGAGCCUGGGCCAGAAGCAGAAGGUCCCCUGGAACUUCCAGCAUA